AAAGAAAAUGCUGAACAUCCACCAAUUAAAGAAUGAUAACUUCUGGAUCCUUUCUUUGGAUUCGAAAUCAUCGAAUUGGUCUGCUCCCAUUGUGGAGAUGUUAGGCUUAGUUCCACCAGUGCCGGCUGCAAUUAUGUAUAGUGCGGCAUAGAAUACGCCCUUUUGGAGGGCUGAGGCCUUAUGGUCACAGUCCUCUUCUUUGAUGCCGGGGCCACAUGAUGGGGGCCUUAGUGACGGCACCGACACUGCUAGGGUUAACAGGAUCAUUCCCUGUUCAGUUUACAUAAAAUUAUAGAAAAAUUUAAGCCAGUUCCUAUAUAUUUGGAAGACUUCGUAAGCUUUUCUUUUUUCUGUUAAUGCUCUUGUAUUUCAUAUAAUCAAGAUAAUUAAUUAAGUAAUCAAAGUAAUCGUUUCCAAUGUGAUUUAUUAAUUCCAUCAAUGAAAGUUUGGGAUCUUCUCCAUUCAAAAUUCUCAAAUAAAAAUCUGUUAGUGGGGUGAUUUAUGAAAAGGAGAGCUUCCCACUUUGUAACCUAAGUGAUUGAAUGUUUCUAAAUUUUCUAAAAUCUGGUAAUCUAAGCAAUGAUAAUUAGGAUAAUUAAAACCCAAGAGAUUAUAACUCGAAAUCUAAAAUGAAAGGUUGAAAAUUGUCCACAAGUUGGUGAAAUGAUGGUUCACAACCAUAAGCAUCGAUGUCAGAAUGUGUGUGGUUUCGGUUUCUCGAUGAACAACUAUUACGUGUUUGAUUUUGAAUGGUACGUACGUGUUAGAUGAAACUCACAAGUGACGUGAACCAUAAAAUGGAGAAAGAUUUUUUCUUUUCUUGGUUAGAAAAUGACAAACCUACUCCUGAAGCUGCCAUGAAUUGUGAGGAAAAUGGAGUUUUUAAUGUUACCGAAAGAUAAAUGGCAGAAGCAAUGACGAAAGUCCUGAAUCGGCCAAGAUGAGCAUCUGCAAUAUAAGCACCUAAAAUGGGUAACAUCCACACAGUACCAACCCAGUUGGUGACAUCAUUUGAAGAUGUUACAGUCCCUUCAUGGAGCUUCCUUGUCAAAUACAGAACUAGAUUCGAUGCUAUCCCAUAGUAUGCCAUCCUCUCGAAGAUCUCAUAUCCUACAAUCCCAGGACCCAGAAAAAUAAUAAGCCAAAAUAUAUAUGUAAACUACACGCUAAUUGUUAAGACAUACCAACAAUGAAGGAACAAGCUCUCCAUCUCCCAGUCUUUGAUCUCAAGACUGGUCUGCCCUUGAGGUCCACAGUCCCAUCUUCUGUAUAAUCUUCUCUCCCACCUGCAGGGCCUUUCUCUUCUACUUUCUCCAUUAUAGGUUAGAUAUGCUUAGCUACUAAAAGGUCAAGUAAAUGUGAGGACCUCUUUAUAAAUUGGAGGGUAGGACACGACUAAUGAAUGAAACUUUAAAGCUUCAACCUCCAAGAUACGAUUUUUUUUUUUUUUCAUUUGCUUUCCUGUUUAAUUCUAUUUCAAUAAAUAUACCUCAUUCCAAUAAUAAUUCAUACCUCAUUCCAAUAAUAAUUCAACUAUAUAUAUUAAAACAAAAAAAAUUAACCUCCUUGUUGUUUUAUACUAUUUUCUUUGUAAUUGAUGGCGCUUGCCAACCUUGAAUUAUUUAGCGGUCGUUCCCUAGCAAUUUGAGAGGCUGCUACAAAGUAGAUGUAAUAAUAAGAUACAAAUCUUGGAAAACUACAGCUUUACGAUGAUGUCCAAUGAAAAAGAAGAAGAAGAA
rnacentral:misc_RNA from 1 species